rnacentral:rRNA from 1 species
GCAAGUCGAACGAAGCAAUAGUGCUUGCACUAUUGACUGAGUGGCGGACGGGUGAGUAACACGUGAGCAACCUGCCUAUUACUGGGGGACAACACUUGGAAACGAGUGCUAAUACCGCAUAUGACCACAAUCCGGCAUCGGAAAGGGGUGAAAAGAGUUAAAUCUGGUAAUAGAGGGGCUUGCGCAUCAUUAGCUAGUUGGUAUGGGUAAUGGCCUACCAAGGCAACGAUGAUUAGCCGAUCUGAGAGGAUGACC